rnacentral:rRNA from 1 species
UACAGGAUUCCCCUAGUAACUGCGAGUGAAGCGGGAAAAGCUCAAAUUUAAAAUCCUUCGGGAAUUGUAGUCUCGAGAAGCGUUUUCGGCCGUGGCCUCGGACAAGUCCCUUGGAACAGGGCGUCAUAGAGGGUGAGAAUCCCGUCCUUGCCGAGCACACCAUGUCUAUGUGAUACGCUUUCGAAGAGUCGAGUUGUUUGGGAAUGCAGCUCAAAAUGGGUGGUAAACUCCAUCUAAAGCUAAAUAUUGGCGAGAGACCGAUAGCGAACAAGUACCGUGAGGGAAAGAUGAAAAGCACUUUGGAAAGAGAGUUAAACAGUACGUGAAAUUGUUGAAAGGGAAGCGCUUGAAGUCAGUCGCGUCUCCGGAGACUCAGCCUCACGGCGCAUUUCUUCGUUGACGGGCCAACAUCAGUUUUGGCCGCGGGAAAAGGACCUGGGGAAUGUGGCAGCUCCGGCUGUGUUAUAGCCUCUUGUCGUACACCGCGGCUGGGACUGAGGACUGCUUAACAGGAUGUUGGCGUAAUGGCUUUAAGCGACCCGUCUUGAAACACGGACCAAGGAGUCUAACAUGUCUGCGAGUGUUUGGGUGCUAAAACCCAUGCGCGUAAUGAAAGUGAAUGCAGGUGGGAGGCCUCGGCCGCACCAUCGACCGAUCCGGAUCUUUAGUGAUGGAUUUGAGUAAGAGCAUAUAUGUUGGGACCCGAAAGAUGGUGAACUAUGCCUGAAUAGGGUGAAGCCAGAGGAAACUCUGGUGGAGGCUCGUAGCGAUUCUGACGUGCAAAUCGAUCGUCAAAUUUGGGUAUAGGGGCGAAAGACUAA